rnacentral:tRNA from 2 species
ACUUUAUUAGUAUAAAAAGUACAACUAACUUCCAAUUAGUAAGUAAAUUAUAAAGUA